AAUUCGAUUAGUUUGAUCAUGGCUCAGGACGAACGCUGGCGGCGUGCUUAACACAUGCAAGUCGAGCGGAAAGGCCCUUUUGGGGGUACUCGAGCGGCGAACGGGUGAGUAACACGUGAGUAAUCUGCCCUUCACUCUGGGAUAACUGCCUGAAAGGGUGGCUAAUACCGGAUAUUCUCUGGACAUCGCAUGGUGUUUGGUGGGAAGAUUUUUUGGUGGGGGAUGUGCUCGCGGCCUAUCAGCUUGUUGGUGGGGUAAUGGCCUACCAAGGCUUUGACGGGUAGCCGGCCUGAGAGGGUGACCGGCCACACUGGGACUGAGACACGGCCCAGACUCCUACGGGAGGCAGCAGUGGGGAAUAUUGGACAAUGGGCGGAAGCCUGAUCCAGCAACGCCGCGUGAGGGAUGACGGCCUUCGGGUUGUAAACCUCUUUCAGCACAGACGAAGCGCCCUGUCGGGUGGUGACGGUAUGUGCAGAAGAAGCACCGGCCAACUACGUGCCAGCAGCCGCGGUAAUACGUAGGGUGCGAGCGUUGUCCGGAAUUAUUGNGCGUAAAGGGCUCGUAGGCGGUUUGUCGCGUCGGGAGUGAAAUCCACUGGCUUAACUGGUGGCUUGCUUUCGAUACGGGCAGACUGGAGGUAUGCAGGGGA
rnacentral:rRNA from 1 species